CCAAGACAGCGCUGUGACCGCAGCAAGAGCCCCUAUGUGCAGGAAAGGACCUGUGGCCUGGACAGAGUGAGGAGAAAGAAGCUAACUCAGCAGCAGAGCUCGUCCAGCCUGACAGUACUUGGCCUGCCCUGGUGACAUCACAUUACCAUUCUGCAUGGCUGGCAUUUUAUCCAGGCACAACACCCCAUGGCACGGACUGACAGUGCGGCAACAGAAAUCUAUCAGAACGCAACAAUCACUUGGAGUGUUUAAAGAGCAGUAAACUACCAAGGACUCUCUCUGUAGCUACUCGAAGUAAUGUUCUACAGACAGCUGCAAGGGGCCAGGGCUAAUGAAGACGGCAAGAACACUGAUAAAUACAGGCGGAGCAGCUUUGCUUCUAUUUUUGAAGCCUUUUGUGUGACUGAAUGGUAAAGGACUGGCUAAAUGGAAAUACUUUCAAUUAUUACUGAGAGGCCAGAUCGCCUUGCACUUCAUGACGUGGGCUGUCUUCCUACAAAGCACCUUGAACACAGACAAAGACAACUGCACAGGGCCAGCCAGUCAGCCUGAACGGCUCAUUACAGUGGACAAAGAUGAAAAAGGGGAGAAAUACCAUGAUCCGCUUGUAGAUUAUGAAUGAGUCUACAGUUGUUUCAACAUGAGAUUCUUAGUUCUCACGCUUCUGUGAUUCGCUCGGGUCCAGUUACGUGUAGCUGAUACCUGUCCUUGAUUGGUCACAGUUUGUUUACUGGGAUCGUUAAAUAUGCAGUCUUAUAACAUCACCUUGACCUAUGCGAGGAAGCAUCCUUGAUGGACAUGACAGCUCUCUGCUCACUCAAAUGAAUACAGACAAAUAAAUACCAGACUACACAAAUCUAUUCCUCUAUGCUUAACAAUUAUUGACAGCAAAGAGGCACCCUUAGUAGUUGUCUAUAUUUACAAUUGUAGUAGAACGGAUCAUUAUGGCUCAAUCACUCGCUAUAUAAUCACAUUAAAGGAAUGCUGAGGGGAAAAUAUCCACAUCCUGAAUCAACUGAAUGGAAACUGACUGCAGCCUGCAGAGUGCAUGUUCCCAGCUGUGUGCUUCUUACACCGAGGUCAAGACUAGUGCUAUCCACCACCACACGGUCAAAACAAAGGAUGAGCACUGUGAACACAGAAUGCUGACUCAGCACUAUGCUAUCAGCUGGACUGAAAGACAGCCGCUUGCCACAGGAAACAGAGCUACACGGUGUCCAGUUUCCUGCAAACAGGAGGGGAAAAAAAUCUAUAUGUCUUUAUUUAGUUCUGCAAUGCUUUUUAUAUGAUCCAAGAGCUAUUAAAAUAUAA